rnacentral:rRNA from 1 species
GCUAAAGGUGUGGAAGGAUCGGCGUUAAUACGAAGGGUGCAAGCGGUAAUCGGAAUUACGGGGCGUAAAGAGGGCGUAGGUGGUUCAGUAAGUUGGAAGUGAAAGCCCCGGGCUCAACCUGGGAACUGCUUUCAAAACUGCUGAGAUAGAGUACGGUAGAGGGUGGUGGAAUUUCCUGUGUAGCGGUGAAAUGCGUAGAUAUAGGAAGGAACACCAGUGGCGAAGGCGACCGCCUGGGCUCAUACUGACACUGAGGUGCGAAAGCGUGGGGAGCAAACAGGAUUAGAUACCCGAGUAGUC